rnacentral:rRNA from 1 species
CGAACGCUGGCGGCGUGCUUUACACUUGCAAGUCGAGCGAUGAGAUCCCUUCGGGGAAGGAUUAGCGGCGAACGGGUGAGGAACACGUGAGGAAUCUGCCUUCAACACUGGGAUAACUCCGGGAAACCGGGGCUAAUACCGGAUACGAGACCUGCAGGCAUCUGCGGGUCUGGAAAGUUUUUCGGUUGAAGAUGACCUCGCGGCCUAUCAGCUUGUUGGUGAGGUAAUGGCUCACCAAGGCGACGACGGGUAGCCGGCCUGAGAGGGCGACCGGCCACACUGGGACUGAGACACGGCCCAGACUCCUACGGGAGGCAGCAGUGGGGAAUAUUGGGCAAUGGAGGGAACUCUGACCCAGCGACGCCGCGUGCGGGAUGAAGGCCUUCGGUUGUAACCGCUUCAGCAGGAGAAGCGAAGUGACGGUACUUGCAGAGAAGCACCGGCUAACUAUGUGCCAGCAGCCGCGGUAAGUCU